UACGGAGGGUGCAAGCGUUGUCCGGAAUCACUGGGCGUAAAGGGCGCGUAGGCGGCUCAUGAAGGCUGCGGUGAAAGUCCGGGGCUCAACCUCGGAUCGGCCGUGGCGACUCGUGGGCUGGAGCACUGUAGAGGCGGGUGGAAUUCCGGGUGUAGCGGUGAAAUGCGUAGAGAUGCGGAGGAACACCGAUGGCGAAGGCAGCCCCCUGGGCUAACACUGACGCUGAGGCGCGAAAGCGUGGGGAGCAAACAGG
rnacentral:rRNA from 1 species